ACAGUGACACAGGAAUAAUAGGAACAGAGGAGAGGGAUGACACGUGUAACCUAACCUACUGGCACGGCAGCCGGAGAGGCAGAGCCAAUGACUGCCUUGCAUGCACAAUGAGUCCAUCCAGCCCUCCCCGGUCUGUCAAGUCCUUUAAGUUGCAGCUUUCGACUACCUCGGCGUUCAGAGAAAAGAUGAUGCCCAUCACGAGGGGAAGGAAGAUCCCGCUGCCAGGUAGACGGCCUGGGCACUGAUCUCCACAGGGCCGGCUGCUGAGAGGUUUCCUUUGGAUGCUCCGGAGCCUGACCUGCCAUAGGGGAUGCCCCAAUUUACCUUUGCUUGCUUCUGUGGGCUCCAUGGCUUCUGCAAGAUGAAGAGGAAAAAAGAAGACCCCAGCGCAGAGCAGGAGACGUCAGUGUGAGACUUGUCCUGGGUGUGUCACAUUUACCCGCUCACUCACAUCGCUGGAUCCCAGCCCCGGGUUGAACUUGAGACUUGCCUGGCGUGGAAAAAACCUGAAGCUCAGAAAUGACCCUUACAGAAGAGCCACAAACAGGCAUUAUCCUGGGUGCUAUGGUGGUUCAGCACAGAUCCCCAGUCUCAAAGGUGCUUGGCCUUGGACCACACAGCUCUCCGUGGCAGAGAGAGAUUUUUGUCCCUUUACUGGGUAAAAGUUCAUUCACGAGAAAGCUGUCCUUGUCUUGCUUGAAUAUGUCCCCCUGGACAGACUCUGAAGGAGAUUUCCAAAUUAAAAGCCAGGUCCUGCCCUCAGUUUCCCUGGAGUAAGUGGGCAGCAGGAUUUGGCUCUAUGUUUUUAAGUUGUCUCACUGGUGCACUGUCAACUGAAAAUGAACGAGCUGUAGAGUUUUUUUAGUAUCUCCCAAGCAAAUGUCUGUGUCUACAAGAAGCGGUUCCUAAUGCCUCUGGGACAUUUUGUGCUCAGAUGUGCUAGAUGGAGAUACCGUUAGGAAGUGGUGCAAACACACUGGGCUUUGAUUCUGCUCCCUCUUGCACCGAUGCAAAUCAGGAGUCACUCCACUGAAGUCAAUGGUGUUAGCCCAGUGGGAGAGCAGACUCAUGCCCCUUAUGUAUCUAUAUUAACUAUGAGAAGUGAAUUUUGCAGUUGGCCCCUUUUCUAUCAUGGGCUUGAAUCAAAAUCCCUGAACUCUAUGUGGAGAGAAGUUUGGAACUGGGAUCCAGAUCUCAGCUUUGGAGCUCAGGUCUAUCUCUGGUGUGUAUGCGUCCUCCAGUGGUUCUCCGCCUUUCCCGUAAUGGGUGCCCACUUCCAAUCUAGCCAUUUAGCAAUCUGGGAAAGGCAGAAUGGCCACGACCCUCUGACACCUGUUCAUGUACAUGCGGUGGGUCGCAACCCCCAGGAUAAGAGCCCGUGUUCUCAAAGAAAUUCAUGCAGCUGACAGUCUGGAAAAUGCCAGUGUUCAAAUCGUUAACCUUUUUUACUGGCACUGCCUCACCUAAUCCAGGCAUAGCCAUUAGCAUUAGUGUAGUGCUGCAGUUUCAAAGGUUGUCCCUGUUUUCUCCCUCCUUGUCUGUACGUCUUUCCUACCUGCUGUUAAAGCCAUAUGGAAAUUCCCUGGGUGCUGUGCCUUUCAGGAGAUGUUGCAGACAGACUCUCCUCUUCAGGUACCCUAAAGUAGCCCCAGCAGUUGUCACUAUGGAUCCCAGAAAGUACAGCUAUUUCAUGGCCUGAUCCAAAGAACAUUGAGGUCAGUAAAAACAACAAGGAGUCUGGUGGCACC